rnacentral:lncRNA from 1 species
CUGACAUAGAUACUAAUGGCCAGAAAUUUGAAGAAAUCAUUUCCUAAACAACAUUCCUAUGGCCCAAAAUAUGCUCAAUGCCUCCCAAAGUAAAUAUCUUUGUGAUAACAUAAUAAUAGUGGAAUCCAGUGUAAUAUAGAAUUCUCUCUGUUGGGAAAUGGGUUUCAUGCAAGAACCAGACGUUGUUCCUCAUCGUCAUCUCCAACUACGUCAAAUUGAUAAUGGCAAAGGGCACUUUUAACCGAGCAGGGUUACCGGAGCACAGAUGUGACCUGUUCCCUUUGCAUUCUUUACGUAUCUCAGCAAGAUCUUUAUUCACAUUUGCUGAAUGGAGAAGGGAAGUAGACUGGCACCGACAGAAUUGAAGACAAAGGCUAAUUCUGAAAACAAAUGGUAUUAAGUACCUCCACAUUGAAGGAAGGAAUAUAUAGAGGUUCAGAAGAGGAAGCAGAGACUUCAAAUCCAAAGAACCUAGGAACCCUCAAUCCCAAGGGAGAAAACAGAGCUAAAACACUAACAGGAAGAAGCAGAGAGAGAGCCCUCACUGGAACCCAACUGUGCUGGCACCCUGAUGUCAUACUUCCCAGCCUUGAGAACUGAGAGAAAUAAAGGUCUUUUUUUUCAGCUACUGCUCUACGACGUUCUUAGAGGGCAGCCAGAACUA